rnacentral:rRNA from 1 species
CCUACGGGUGGCAGCAGUGAGGAAUAUUGGUCAAUGGCCGGAAGACUGAACCAGCCAAGCCGCGUGAAGGACGAAGGUACCGAGUAUCGUAAACUUCUUUUGUCAGGGAACAAAGUCAGGCACGCGUGCCUGACUGAGUGUACCUGAAGAAAAAGCAUCGGCUAACUCCGUGCCAGCAGCCGCGGUAAUACGGAGGAUGCGAGCGUUAUCCGGAUUUAUUGGGUUUAAAGGGUGCGUAGGCGGUCUGUUAAGUCAGCGGUAAAAGCCCGGGGCUCAACCCCGGCCCGCCGUUGAAACUGGCAGUCUUGAGAUGUCGAGAGGUAUGCGGAAUGCGCGGUGUAGCGGUGAAAUG